rnacentral:rRNA from 1 species
GACGAACGCUGGCGGCGUGCUUAACACAUGCAAGUCGAGCGGUAAGGCCCUUUCGGGGGUACGACGAGCGGCGAACGGGUGAGUAACACGUGAGUGACCUGCCCUUACGCUCUGGGAUAAGCCUGGGAAACGUGGGUCUAAUACCGGAUAUGACUCCAUGACGCAUGUUGUGGGGUGGAAAGCCUUGUGCGGCUAGGGAUGGGCCCGCGGCCUAUCAGCUUGUUGGUGGGGUGAUGGCCUACCAAGGCGACGACGGGUAGCCGGCCUGAGAGGGCGACCGGCCACACUGGGACUGAGACACGGCCCAGACUCCUACGGGAGGCAGCAGUGGGGAAUCUUGCGCAAUGGGCGAAAGCCUGACGCAGCGACGCCGCGUGGGGAUGACGGCCUCGG